CUGCACUAUCUAAACCUACAAGCCCUGAUGAUGAAGCUGAAGUCAGUAAGCUCUGAAAAUCAGUUUUCUUUAUUGUCACUCUGGUGGUGAUCCAGUGAAGAGCAGGUGAAGAUUAAUGUUUUGUUGGUGAGCCGAGAAAAUGGUUAGUGUUUUUUGACCCUAUCUGAAAUGACUGUGGUGACGGAAGAUGGAGAAACAUUAAGCACUGUGUAAAUCACAGGGCUAAAGUCAAGGGCCUGACAAAAACAAGAAUUCACAUCUACAUGACUAGAAAUGUGCUGUACCAUAGGACAAGCACUAGCCACGUAUGUCUUAUAAGCACUUAAAUGAAUCUAAUCGCAAAUGAGAUGUGCCUUAAGUGUAAAAUACACCGAAU